rnacentral:rRNA from 1 species
AGCGAACGCUGGCGGCAGGCCUAACACAUGCAAGUCGAACGAACCUUUCGGGGUUAGUGGCGGACGGGUGAGUAACCCGUGGGAACGUGCCUUUAGGUUCGGAAUAACUCAGGGAAACUUGUGCUAAUACCGAAUGUGACCUUCUGGGGAAAGAUUUAUCGCCUUUAGAGCGGCCCGCGUAUGAUUAGCUAGUUGGUUGAGGUAAUGGCUCACCAAGGCGACGAACAGUAGCUGGUCUGGGAGGAUGAUCAGCCACAUUGGGACUGAGACACGGCCCAAACUCCUACGGGAGGCAGCAGUGGGGAAUCUUGAGCAAUGGGCGAAAGACUGACGCAGCCAUGCCGCGUGAAUGAUGAAGGUCUUAGGAUUGUAAAAUUCUUUCAACGGGGACGAUAAUGACGGUACCCGGAGAAGAAGCCCCGGCUAACUUCGUG